CCUUGCCCAGCCCUGGGUCUGCUCUUGGUGCCUGGCAUCUCUCGACAGAAGCAGCAGCAGACCAUGUGCUUUUUGCUGGCAGCGACAGGACGAUGGAGAGAGAUAAGGAAAGGAAUGUUCGCAGGGAGGCUUCUCUGAACGUGCCUGGGCUGCUCCAGGACACUCAGGAUGCGUCUGCACAUCCCCCAUCCCUGGCAAUGCGGCGGCCCAAGGAGAUCCCAGAAGACAAACCCUUGUCCCACACUCAGUUUGAACUGGAGCGACGCUGGAGCAAAAGCACGCAGUGGAAUUGUGCAAACAGGAAAAUGAGAGGGGUUGGGGGAUGCUGGGGAAAUGACUAGAGGGUAAUUCACCUUGAACCUGAAAGAGCUGAGCUCAGUUCUCCUGGGUUUGGACAGGAGCUGACAAUCCCCAGGUACCUUCCCUGUGCUUAAGCCACCUCCCAACGUUCCACUAGGGCCCUGACUCUUCACUGACUCUUUAUGGUGCAUCUCACCAGGACACUCAGGCAAAUCUCACGGCUUCCCACUGUAAAUAUCAAGAGAACGCACUCUGAUUUAUUAAUCAAUUAAUUAGCUGAAACACACUGAUGGCUACCGCAGGCCCACAGUGAUUUGUUUUAACAAAGUGCUGAGCUGCAGUUAAGAGCAGGCUGGCACCAGCCCUGCUCCAAAGGGAUCUGGCUCCUCCUUUGUGAGCAAAGGCUGUAACAAUCAUUCCAUGAAGCGGUUAACGUUUCCGCUGAAACUUGAAUUUGUAAAUAGCUGGACUGGUCUUUGUUUCUUUCUUCACCUUUACUUUAUGAGUUUUGUCCUGGAAAAAAAGAACAAGUACAAAUAUUUGCUGCCAUGCAAGAAAAAACAAAAAAACCCACCCACACAAAUCAGAGUUGCUGUCUGGGUCUGACCAUAAAAGAAAAAUGGUCACUUCGCACCGUUUAGGUGGGGAUUAUAAUUUUAUCUGCUGUUUUCUCCUUCAGGCUGUCAGGCACAAUCUGCUUUGCCCACAAGCACCAGAGAACAGGAGUUCCAUUGAGACAAGUAAUUUCUGUGGUCAUUUUGGAUCUUUAAGACUUUCUCAUAACUUACAGAAAUGGUUCCCUACUCCGGACUCUUUGUGAGCACCAUUUUACAGGAGCUAUCUGGAGAAUGAAGAAACAAAUACAACACACACGGUACCAGACCUAAUGGCCUGAACAGAACAGGUUUGGCAGAACCAGAACCAAAUCCCUCACCAGAAGAUCUUUGCGUGUCUGGAUUUUCUGUGAGAUGACAAACAUGGCCUUCUCUCUCUCGAUGCGCUGCCUCAGGAGGUCAUAUUGGUUCUUCCUCUGCUGGGCUAAUUUCUGGAAAUGAAAAAAAAAAAAAAAAAAAAGCUGUUUUAAGACAGAGAUGAACAAGACACUAUGGCCUAAAUCCUCUGAAUUUCAAUGUCAAAUGCAAGAAAACAUUUGACUCCCUAAUGAAAAUCAACUUUAUCCAGAGGAUGGAAAACAAACAAAAAAAAGGACGGACACCAAUUCCUGAAGUGCUCAGAGCCCACAGAGGCCUCUCAAAAUGCAACUUGUUGGGUCAAGUUUGCCUAAUGAGAGUGGAUAGCUUUCCCAGCACAGGAACAGUAUUACUGCAGGUGUGAUCUAAGUAAUUAAAUUAAGGAGAACAGAUCCCAACAUGCUCCAAAUAUGACUCAGACAUUUAGGAGAAAACUAGUCAGUCUACGACUCGUCCAACUGCUUUCCUGACAAGUCAAAUUGAGACAGCUGGCAGGAGGAAAGGGACCACAGGGUGUUUAUUAUCUCACAUCUGAGUCAGAAAAAACAGGUUAAAAAUUUACCAGUCAGCAAUAUUAAGACAACUAUUUUUACCUUACACACAACUGACUCGUACUCACCGGAUUGUCCAACAGAUCUGAGCUACCUGAGCAGAAUCUACAGCACUAAAGCCAAGUGUAGCUACUUCUGUGAUACUAAAACAUCAGAAUCAAAGCUGAUUGCAUAAGCUAUUCAUGCUGAAGAAUCACAAAACAAUUCAAAUUAGGAAAGCCAGGAAUUGAGACUAUAGUUUAAAUGGCUUUAGGAAGGAAAGUGAGGAGACAAAUCUCAAGCCACUUUGGGCUCAGAACCAAACUGGAAAAUACUGCAAGAUCAGGAACAAUGUAACAGAGGCAUCUGUAUUAGAAUAAGCUUCUUUCUAUAUACUUAAUUUAGGGGUGCAAGGGGU